rnacentral:misc_RNA from 1 species
AUAGAAGGAUACCUUCGGGUAUACCCCAUCCGUGUCUACAUACUCUUGUUGCUUUGGCAGGCCGUGGUCUCCCACUGUGGGGCUCUGCCUGCAUGUGCCUGCCAGAGGACCAAACUCUGAAUGUUUAGUGAUGUCUGAGUACUAUAUAAUAGUUA